AAGGUUAAAGUUGUUUGUUUUUUAGAAGAGGAUUACAGUCAGCUAUUGCUUAAGCAGCUGUUAAAUGAGAGAAAAACAUUCAGUCUUGGCUCUCCUAUGGCAUGGCUGAAAAGCCACAUCUACAUCAGAGGUUCAGAAUAUUUUGGAAGGCCACAGAAUGGAAGUGCUUUCUCACCAGGUGAAAAACAGAUAAAGCAAGUUUUCAAUUUUGUUUACCAUUCUCAUUGCUAUAGUUCAUCAGCAUGCCACAAAAGACAGUCAAGAGCUUCUCACUGGCGGGAUCUGUUUUACUGCACAGUGACCUUAAAUGGUCAACUACAAUCUGUGCACCACCUGCUUGGUCAACUGCACUUCUGCCCUCAUCUGUAAAACAAAGAGUCAAAUUAAAAAUAAAAGAAAAAAGAAAUGUA